CAGCCGCCACGGUAAUACGAAGGGUGCAAGCGUUAAUCGGAAUUACUGGGCGUAAAGCGUGCGUAGGCGGUUUGUUAAGUCUGUAGUGAAAUCCCCGGGCUCAACCUGGGAAUGGCAAUGGAUACUGGCAAGCUAGAGUGUGUCAGAGGAUGGUGGAAUUCCCGGUGUAGCGGUGAAAUGCGUAGAGAUCGGGAGGAACAUCAGUGGCGAAGGCGGCCAUCUGGGACAACACUGACGCUGAGGCACGAAAGCGUGGGGAGCAAACAGGAUUAGAUACCCCGAGUAGUCCCUGUCUCUUAUA
rnacentral:rRNA from 1 species